rnacentral:rRNA from 1 species
UACGGAGGGUGCAAGCGUUGUUCGGAAUUAUUGGGCGUAAAGCGCGUGUAGGCGGUUUCUUAAGUCUGAUGUGAAAGCCCCGGGCUCAACCUGGGAAGUGCAUUGGAUACUGGGAAACUUGAGUACGGGAGAGGGUAGUGGAAUUCCCAGUGUAGGAGUGAAAUCCGUAGAUAUUGGGAGGAACACCGGUGGCGAAGGCGGCUACCUGGACCGAUACUGACGCUGAGACGCGAAAGCGUGGGGAGCAAACAGG